CUUUAGAUGGGAGGGCAAUACAGUGGCCAAUGUGAAUACAUCUGCAACCACAGAAGCAUGAGGAUAAUGUUUAGGAGGAAGUUUCUUCCAGGCAUUGUUAAAUGGAGCCCACUGAGAGCUGUAGCCUGUAUGAACCGUUCAAGGCAAAUCUGAGUAUAUGCCAUAAAAAAAUAUAACAACCAUGACAUCAAGUACAGCUAGGUAUUGAAGAGAAGCUGCCAUCUCCACCUGAAGUUUAGCUGGAAGCUAGCUUUUUUGUUCUUGAAGCACCCAAAUGGCCUCAAGUUGUACCAGGGGAGAUUCAGGUUGGAUGUCAGGAAAAACAUCUUUUCCAAAAGAGUGGUCAGGUGCUGCAAUGGGCUGCCCAGGGAGGUGGUGGAGUCACCGUCCCUGGAGGUGUUAAGAAACAUGUAGAUGUUGUACUGAGUGACAUGGUUUAGUGGGAAAUAUUGGUGGACAAUUGGACUGGAUGAUCAUGGAAGUCUUUUCCAAACUUGGUGGUUCUAUGAAAUUUGGCUGUGGAACAGGAGCGUUGUGAAUUUCUAUCUGUUGUCAUGUUUAUUCUUUCCAGAUGUCUUUCUGGCUGUAGGUCAAAGCUUUAAAGGCAUGGAGAUGAGUCAGGGGAGGGUCAGGUAGGGGUUAGGGAAAGGCUUGGCCCCAGAGAGCAGUGAGUUCACUUACUCGUGUCCUUGCUCGAGUCUCAGCCCCAGCACAGCACUGCUGCUCAGGCAGCACUGGCAGGUGGUGCUAAUUAGAGCGGUGUGUUUUAUGAUGGCACUAUUAAGCAGAGUUAUUUAUACCAUUGUACUUCUUAUUUUAUCACUUGGUGUCUUCAAAACAGUCUCCUUUUGGAUAAUGAAGCUCAAUGUUUUCGUACCUCGUGAUGUCCCAUUAGUCUGCAGAGACACCGAUGUUGACAUUCAUUAUCUAUUCUCGGAAGUGGUUAUCAGCAGAACAGGUUUCAUUCCUCCAGAGGUCUCUUUUGGACGUGCCCUGGAAACUCUCACGCGUUACCCAGGUGAGCAAAUCCUGACCAUGCUGACCUGAUUGCAGAGUUCCAAUACCUUCACUGUCUUCAAAUGUAACAUCUGUAAAGUUUAUCACACAUAGAAAUACAUGUGCAGAUACACACCUAUCUGUCUGUCUGUGCACACACAUGUGAACACACAACACCCUUUGCCCACUGUUUCCUCUCUAGCCUUGUCCUUGAGGGACAUCUGAUCCCCUCCACAUGAAGGUGUUGUGCCAUACAGUUGUUUUCUUGCUUUUCCUCAGUGAACUCUCUGUUCUUACAGCACACCCCAGCACUUCCCUGGAAAUGUCACAGAAAGAUGCACUGAGAUCAGCCAGAUGCUGCACUGUGUAUCCUCUUUGCGUUCCUCAUUUGAUUUCUGACUUCAAAUACUCCUUCUUGCUUUCCCAUGGUGAUCACAGGAGGGUCCAGAUCUGGUCUCUUCCUAUCAUAUCUCCCAAAGCUCAUUCUCU
rnacentral:lncRNA from 1 species